UAAGAAGAGUAUAAAUUGCAUUUUUAUAACUGGGUGUAUAUUGCAGUGGCACUGCUGAGGAUUCUAACAGUCCUUUCUCCAGGGAGAAGACUGAAGGAACUCUUCAGCUGCCUCUUCUGAGACUCUGCUUCAAGGGGAGCAAGAGCCCUUCACUGAAAUCCUCCCACCAUGCUGGGGCUGCUGCUGCUGCAGGUGUUGGCCAGCUGCCUCUGCCUGGGACACAGGGGGGGGGGGGGGGGGGGGGGGGGGGGGGGGGGGGGGGGGGGGGGGGGGGGGGGGGGGGGGGGGGGGGGG
rnacentral:lncRNA from 12 species